UACGUAUGGUGCAAGCGUUAUCCGGAUUUACUGGGUGUAAAGGGAGCGCAGGCGGCACGGCAAGCCUGAUGUGAAAGCCCGCGGCCCAACCGCGGGACUGCAUUGGGAACUACCGGGCUGGAGUGCCGGAGAGGUAGGCGGAAUUCCUAGUGUAGCGGUGAAGUGCGUAGAUAUUAGGAGGAACACCAGUGGCGAAGGCGGCCUACUGGACGGUGACUGACGCUGAGGCUCGAAAGCGUGGGGAGCAAACAGG
rnacentral:rRNA from 1 species